UAGGAUAGCUCAGUUUGCAGAGCAUGGGACUCUGAACCUCAGGGUUGUGGGUUCGAGCCCCACGCGGGGCAAAA